rnacentral:rRNA from 1 species
UACGUAGGGUGCGAGCGUUGUCCGGAAUUAUUGGGCGUAAAGAGCUCGUAGGCGGCUUGUCGCGUCGGCUGUGAAAACCUGGGGCUCAACCCGGGCCUGCAGCCGAUAACGGCAAGCUAGAAUUCGGUAGGGGAGACUGGAAUUCCGGGUGUAGCGGUGGAAUGCGUAGAGAUCCGGAAGAACACCGGUGGCGAAGGCGGUCUGCUGGGUGAGGCUGGACGCUGAUGCGCGACGAGCGUGGGGAGCAAACAGG